AGGGGCAGAAGCAGAGGGGCAGGGGGGGGGGCAGAUCUGUCGUCUGAGUUGUCUGGUGAUCCUGUGCUGUUCUCUCUGCAGACAGUCCUGUCUUGUGUAUAUAUAACAGCCAUGUGCCAAAGUGAGGUCAUAUUACAUGUGAGGUCAUAUUACAUGUGUAACAGUGAGGUCAUAUUACAUGUGUAACAGCCUGAGGUCAUAUUACAUGUGUCACAGUCUGAGGUCAUAUUACAUGUGUGUGUCACAGCCUGAGGGCUUUAUUACUGUAAGCCAACACAGCACAAGGACAAGCAUGUGCACAAUACCAAAGGAACUAUUUUAUAUUCAAUGUUCUGUUCCUAAAUUAUUUGUCAAUUUUGUGUUUUUGUAUGUUUCAAGCGGUUUUUACAUUUUAAUAAAGAUAAAUGU
ensembl:lncRNA